AUGUUAUCUUUUUUUUCAAUUCCUUAUAAUAUCCAUAUUAUCUUUCCGCAGAUUUUAAUUUCCUGAUCACAAAUAUGAUACUUUACUCAUAGAAGGAUAUUAUCUUCUUGACUUUUCAAAUUUAGUAUUUAUUUAUUUUGCAGUUCAUCCAUAGACUUCCCUUCUUUCAUGAAAUGGGAGUCUAGCUGGGAGAACUGGUAAUAUAUUAAUGUUAUGGUUGGAAGAGGAGAAAGUGGAGAAAAGAAAGAAGAGGUAAAUUAUAAGGGAAUGCAACUUUUCCUUGUUUGGAAAUAGAGAAAAAAAUAAGGGAAAGUGAACCAAAUUCUUUCUCCAGGUUCAUGUGAACCAAUAUCUCCAACAUGUGAAGGAAUGAAAAGAAAGUGGGAAAAAUUCUCCUUCACUUCUAUUACAAAUUUUCUAGUGAAAUAAAUGCAGUUUUGUCAUUUUCAAUUUCUCUCCUUUUCUUUUUGUUCCCAAAGGUGAGUGUAAUUUUAUCUCCCUUCAAAUAUGUUAACUCCUUUUUCCUAACAGAAUCUAAAAUUUCAUAUUUCAUAAACUUAAAUAGAAAAAAAAUCCUAAGAAAAUGCCAAGCCUAAAUCCAAGUGUUCAUUUCAUGAGAUUUAAUGAAGGAUUCUAAUAUCCUUGAAUAUAUGGUAAAUCUUUGACUUUCUCCAUCUAUUUUUUCCUUGUAUCAAAGUUAAAUGAGUUGUAACUCCGUGAAGUUUAUGCAUGUACAAUACAUUAUAUGACAAUUAGUAUCCAAGUUCAUACAACUUAGACACCUAGCAGUUACAAGCCUAUUUGUUUCGGCAGCUAUGGUCAAUCGUUUGCAGUUUGUGGCUAUCAAUUAAUUUUUGCUGUCAAAGUUUCUGAUUGAUUGUGCGGCAUUUGGUAACUUGGCAGUUGGAGUUGU
rnacentral:misc_RNA from 1 species